AAACUAUGAUGAGGGCACCUCCUUAAAAAUUCUCUAUAUCGUUCACAAGCUUCAAAUAGGGAAUUUGACUCAUAUUGCUGGAAGCUGGAUAUCUCUACCAUAAGCUU